CACCUGGUCACAAAGUUACUAACAUAAAACCAGGACGUAAAAAUAUACCUAAGUACAUACAAUUUAUCGUGCAAAUUAUUUGAAAGUUUCAAUCAUGUUCAAAGAAAAUUAUACGAAUCUGAAAUACAUACAAAUGAUGAAAAAACUUGUAUGGUGGACUGGAUUUUGGCCAAGUGAAGCGCUUGGGGAAAAAGAACCCCUAUUUGUUAAAUGGCACAAGGUUCAAAUGAUUCUGCAAAAUAGUUGCGGGUUUGUGGGACAGGUCUCCUAUAUAGUUGUAUUCUUUGAAAAAAUCUCGUUUCUUGAUGCUGGAAUAAUGUACAUCACAGCAUCUCUUACAUUUAUGGUGAUAGGAAGAUCUUGUCUAUUAUUCUUCGAUCAAUACCAAAAAAUAUUAAAAACGUUCCUCACAAAGUUUCAUUUAGUUAAUCAUAAACACAGUAGUGGGUAUGAAGCAGAG